rnacentral:lncRNA from 1 species
AAGUGACUGUGAAUUUAAGUUAAACCCUCUGACAACAAAUUGGAGGCACACAAGCCUAAAAGAUGAACGAUACGGUGUUUAUACUUCUCCCUAGGAAGAGCCAUAGGCCUUGGGCCCCAUCAAGGACUCUUCAGUGUUUGAAUUUUAAGAUUUGCCUCCAGUAUGAAACGAGAGGACUUUGCCUUCACUACUCAGCUUGAAGAAAGAGGAAGAGAUUUAUUUGGGGUGGAGAAUGUGAAGCCAUCCCAGUGACUGCCUCUUCCACAAAUUGUCUUUCUGUUCCAAGGCAAUGACCUCAGUGUUGUCAACUAGGAGGCACCUGAGCUAGUAAGGAGAAGCCAAGCAAGAGAGAGAUUUGCCUCAUCCCCACUGGUUAAAUAGUUUGCUCAUAAAAAAUUUCGGAAAUAUAUUUAUUAAGGAUAACUAUGUGCAACAGUUUCUAAAAUGUCAUUUGGGAUGUUGCAUGAGUGAUCAAUGUUAGGGUGGCAUGAAAAUCCUGAACUGUAGCUAGCAGGCUUUAGCAGCUGAAGGCAUUUUGUUUAAUACUGUAAAUACAGU